CCUACGGGAGGCAGCAGUGGGGAAUAUUGGGCAAUGGGCGCAAGCCUGACCCAGCAAAGCCGCGUGAAGGAAGAAGGCUUUCGGGUUGUAAACUUCUUUUCUGAGGGACGAAGAAAGUGACGGUACUUCAGGAAUAAGCAACGGCUAACUACGUGCCAGCAGCAGCGGUAAUACGUAGGGUGCAAGCGUUCUCCGGAUUUAUUGGGUGUAAAGGGCGUGUAGGCGGGAAAGCAAGUCAGAUGUGAAAACUCAGGGCUCAACCCUGAGCCUGCAUGUGAAACUGUUGUUCUUGAGUGCGGGAGAGGCAAUCGGAAUGCGUGGUGUAGCGGUGAAAUGCGUAGAUAUACGGAGGAACACCAGUUGCGAAGGCAGAUUGCUGGACAGUAACUGACGCUGAGGCACGAAAGCGUGGGGAUCAAACAGGAUUAGAUACCCGAGUAGUC
rnacentral:rRNA from 1 species